AUGAGAUUUGCUCUGAUUUUGUGUCUUUUAAGUUAAAAAUGGCAGUUUUUUACCUUGCGACCCUUUAGUUUCUGUCUGAGUAAGAAAGUUCUGCUCUGAAUGAUGGCUCCUAUAUCUCUGGACACAUGGAGGUCAUCUCAUCUAUGAGAAUGAGUUCAAAUUUCCCUUUUCAAGCGAUCCUGUUUCCCCAUCUGAAGAAUGCCUUCAGACUCGGAGCACAGUCCUGCAAUGCCGUGGCCUUACUAGCCAUGAGUUAAUGCCAAGAAUCAAGGGCACACUUCUUUCUAUGAUAAAUUUUUGUUGUGGGAAGGACACUGGUUUUCUGGCAAGUAUCUCUCAGAAUUGCUCAGUUCUCAAUGAUCUGCACUAGAUUAGAUGCUUUAUUUAUUAUUCGUGGAUAAUUUUAAAUUCCAAACUGGCUAUACCACUGCUUGACCUGUUCUCAUUAAGAUAUCUCUCAACGCCUUCCUCUAAGCUAGAAAUAGCUAGGGAAUGUUAUGUAUUCUGAUGUAAGCAUAAUAGAAAAUAAACAAAGAGGUGAAUUUGUUGAAAAGUCAUGGUGUAACAAUUUCAAAAUCAGGAAAAUAACCCAACUUUAGACUAAUCUAAAUAAUUCUUUGGAACUGAAUUAUUUCUACUCAAAUAUCAUGAUUAUUAAAAAAAAAAAAAUCAAAGUUAUGCAUUACUGACUCCAUCUUCCUCCCAAAGCCAGAAUUUACGAGAAUGUGAUUGCAAUACUGAACCCUGAAGCUAGUUGAAGUUCAGGAAUGAGAGGGUACUGACACAUAUAAAUACUUCUUUCAACUUGUGAUCCCGUGGGGCUUGUGCUAAAAGCCUCUCUACCCCUUUCUCAAGACAGUCUUCAAGGGAGCCGGCCCUGAGCCAUCCUGUCCGUCCUCUGAAAUGGGAUGAAGCCCAAUCAGGCGAAGUAAAAUCAGAGUGAAAAUAGGUUGCAUCUCAUUCUCUUUUUGGGAAAACCGUCCUGUGCCUACUCCACCUUAAAAGCGAAACGUGCACUUUUUCUGUGCAGAGACUGCACGAAGCGGGCCCCCUGCUCUUUUCAGGGAGGGAAUGUAAGCAGAUCUCUGAAGAAACCACUUGGCUCAGCAAUUUUAGGGCUUGUUGUAAUUGGCCUGGCCUAAAAGAAUUCAGCAAGCUGUACCUGUGCCAAGGAAAAUGCAAACGCUUCCCUGAAACAGAGGCGUUUAGAAUGGAGGAGAGGAGCUGGGCUCAUCUGUGAGUCUGAGUAGAACAGCAAGGGGCACAGGAGAGCUGCAACAUUGGAGAAGCUCCAAAGAGGCUGUUUCCUUGCUUAGCCACAGGUGGAAGUCACAUCCACUGAACUGUCCCCUGGCAGGGUGAGUGGGGUCUGCCAGAGAAGGAUCUAGAGUGGGAGGCUUCCUCCUUCCAUUCUCAGCCUCCUCCUUGCCCUGAGGAGUACGCCCCCAGUGUGGCCAGCUGCUCAGUGGUCCUCUUCUGGGUUCAGCCUCCACUGCUCUUAUCUGGACACUGGGGACUAGGAAUAUUCUCUCUGACAUUCCCAGGCCAGGACGACACUUCCUAUAGACUGACUGCUCCUGAUUCUUUGUGGUGUCUGACAUGUCUUUUCUGUUAAAAACAUAAAACCUAGCAAUGAUUCUUUGGAUAUUCUGUUAUUUUCCCUCACAGCACCCUAUAAUCCUUUGCAGGAGUUUUAUACUUGGCUGUGCUUCUCGCCUUCACCUGUUACUCUGUGACCCCUGGAGGGUCGGUCUCGUCAUCCCAGUCGGAUUCCUGAUGCUUACCAUGGUCUUUGGCCAAGAGUAGUUACCGAGCAAAUGAUUGUUAACUAAUUAAUAGUAAUUCAGGUUACUGUGGAACUUGAUUUCUACUUCUAUCCUGUAUCUUCAGCAUAUAGGAAGUGUCUAGUCAAUACUUGAAGCAUUCAGAUUUUUCCUGUUAAUUAACAAUCUUUUGCAGCCAGAAAGGUGCUCUUUGAUUCUCUCUCCUGAGAAGUGAGCUAGUUGGGAAAUAGAGACACCAAGUCUUAUGAUGGGUCUAGCUUUCUUUCUGUUUCUUUCUACUCAGAAGAUCUUUCAGUGCCUGGCCUCCUUCUUCCUCCUCAACAUUUACCCUUAUUCCUGCCUCUCAUCACCGCUUGAGACCCUGAGAUGGUCUUGGAAACGUCCCAGAUAUCUCAGACCUCUCAUGCAGUUUCUCCCUUCACAUCUCCCUACCUCUCAAUUUUUCUCCCUUUUUCUUCAUCCCCAAACUCUGUUUUUCUCCUCUGCCUGAGCUCAGGGUUCCCUCUGCUCAAUCAGAGGUCAAUUCUCGAAUGCUCCAUUUCUCUUAUCUGACACCCUCAUCAGCUUUGCACCCCUUUUUGCAACCCUGUCCAGGAUAAUAUCAUGAAAGCAACUCCAAACACAUACCACAUACUGGCCCCACCCAAAGCCCCGUAGUGUUUAGUCUUUCCUUUUUAGCAAUCUGCACCCUUUCUGCUGCGCUGCCCCUAUUCUUGUACCUUCCCAGCCUGCAAUGUAAGGCUCACACAUAGAUGCAAAAGAUUGCAGAAUAGGCAAGAACGUCACCUAUAGUUUUUACUGGCACUGUGUGUCCCAAGUGUGUCUCCUCAAACUGUAGGUAGGACUUUUAAAAUUUACUGUAAUUCUGACUUCAAGAAAUUCUAAUUAGCUUUAGGUUCUGCCUUGUAGUCUGGUACUAUACCAAAGGUGCCUUUUCCCUUGCGUCCAUGUCUUGCUAACUGCAUUUUCUAUGCGUGUGUUUUGCUUAUUCUUGAGCCCCAUCAGAAUGGCCUCCAAUCAAAUUGACUUCAGAGACUGAGUUCAAACAGAGAUCAGACAACCACUCAAUCAGGGAAGAUAUGGAUGGAAUUCAGACAUCGGGGGAGGUAUUUGAUAAGACGGCUUCUAAACAUCAUCUCUUUUGAGAACUGCGAUUCUCCUUAAACUGAUCAUUCAGUGUAGGAGUUUUGCCUUUUCUUUUGUGUUUUCCACUAUACUAAAGGCCAUUUGCCCCCGAGGAGGUGCCUAACUCUUGGACUUACCUGUGAUAGUUAAAGAAAUAGUGCUGCUCAAGGGAAAGAGAGGAAAAGGCCUCAAGCACACUUUGGAUUUAUCUGAUCAGCUAAUGUGUUAGACCAGGAGAUCCCGCAGCAGGAGUUAAAAUGCUCUGUGUGAGGAUGUCACAUGCUUCUUUUGUCUAGUUUCUCCUUUUGGAUCCCAGGUUGUUCACAGACUCAAAUAGUCCAAGAGCUACAAGGAUCCCAAAGGUUAUUUCAGUGCAGGCAGCCUCCAUGACUGGCCCUCCAUUUGACCAAAGAACGUCCAGUGACAGAGCCCUCACAGCUCUCUCCAGACACAAAGUGACCCUUCCAAAUCUGGGCUAAACUACCUGAAUAUUUUUCUUAUAGUGGAUCAAAAAUAUUUCUCUUUGAUGUGUCUCUCCGUUAGUUCCAUUCUAUUUCCUGAAACUGGGCAGAGCAAAUCCCACCGUUUUCUAAUCGAGAGUCCUUUAAAUAUUCGAAGACAGCAAUUACAGAGUUGUAUCUUUAUCUGCCUAAAUAUUUCCAGUUCUUCAAAUUCCUCAUGACAUGGUUGCUUCUAUAUCUUGGUUGUCCUAUUGUCUGGGUCCUGCAUUUUUCCUGGUGUGGGGUGCAGAGCAGAAUGGAAUGGUCUGCCAGUCCGAAGGGGAACAAGACUCUCCUUUCCUCACACUCAUUUUCCUGUUUCUCCACUCAUGACCCCGUGUCCCUCACAUGCUCCAGACCCUCUGAUAUUUCCUCCUGUAGAAGUAAUUCUGGAUUUUGAUCCCAUCUUUCACAGCGGGCUUGUCACUAAAGGUUCUCAGUUUUAGAUCUAUUUGUGUGAAAGGGAAUAUUUUUGUUUUUGUUUUUGCAGCUUUUCUUGAUUUCUCUAAAUCCUUGUUGCUGGUGGUUUUUUUUUUGUUUUUUUGUUUUUUUGUUUUUUUACUUGACCUGAGUUUGUAACAGGGUUUAAUUAUCUUCAGGGCAGUUUAACCCUUUCAUAUUCAGCCCUAGGCCCAACAUAGGUCUGAGAAAUAUUUAUUGAGUUUAUGGUUCAUAGCAAUAUCAUCAAUUGACAUACCUUCUUCUGCUUUGUCAUCAUCCUCAUCAUCAUCAUUAUCAUUUAAGUGGCACACAACUUCUUUUGCUUAAUGUUAUUGCUGUCUUUUGCCUUUAUUCCUGUAAUACCAAUGUUCAUUAUGGAGAAGGAACUCAUAAAGUAGCUGCAACAGAACCAGAGACUCGUGCAACCUCCUGUAUCAUUUCCAGUGCACUAGCAAGUGGAGCUAAGAUCAGAAGCCAGGGUUCCUGACCUUCUCCUGCCCCGUAUGUCUAGACUAUGUUCUGUCUCUGGAGAAAAGUGGGAGAGACACUCACUGAUCAUCCUCAGUACAGGACAAUGAGCCACACCAUUAAGGAGUACUGAUUGGCUCCCCUGCUGUGAGAACAGUAUGCUGGGUGUGACACAGACAGAGAGACCCAGACCAAGUCUGCGGGAGAAAACUGGUCAUGAUGUCAAAUGUGGAGGAAACAACCAAUAGUCCUGGUGGGAUGCUCUCUAUUUACCAGUAUAGUUAGUGGAAUCCAAACAAGGAAACUUUCCAGAAUGACAACUGUGCUCGGCCACUGAACUGUAGGUUAGCAUGUGGUUUGUGACAUAUUAUUUCAUUUUGCCAUGAUACCAGUUGUGAGAUCUUGCUUGUGAAACUAAGUUAACUCCAUUUUAUGGACAAAGAAACUGAGGUGAGAGUGGUUAAUUGAGCAUAAAAUGAGUAGCAGAGCUAGGUAUCAAGUCUAGAUCUGUUGAAGCCUAGAGCUUGUUUUGCCACGUCACAUUGUCUCAUUGACUCUUCCAGCAGUCCUGGCAAGGGAGCUCACAAUUUCAGCAAAACAAAUCUCAGACCCAUUUCCACUGGCCUCUGUUAAAUUCGACUACCUUUCUGAUGUUGGUGGCAGCUCUGUACUGAACCAUAUGUGAAGACUGAACUUGGAAUAAAAUAAUAAAGCUCCAUUUAUUAAAAACCACAGCUACUUCAUGAGCUGUUUCUCCAUAAGCAACAUAGACACUACAGUAAUAAAGAUUAAAAAAUAAUAAUAACCAUAAGCAAAAGAAGCUGUGUGACACUAAAAUGAGGAGGAGAAGGAAGAGGAGGAGGAGGAUGACAGCGAUACCUGCCGGAGUGGGUUAGUAUAAAUGAGACCGUGUUCCUCUGGAGAAAGAUACUAUUUGGACAUACAGUCUGUUUUCACUAAGGUGGGGAGCAGUGUGUGUCCAGAGCUCGAGAGAGACUGAAAGGCCAAGUGUCCACAGUGGCAAGAGAAUCCAGGAGAUUGGACCAUCAUGUCUUUUACUCAGAGAGUGGAGACCACGCCUUGUCUCUCAGAACAGCCCUGUGUGAACAUCCGACUUUAUGAUACAUUGUGAUUGUGAGACAGGACUUCCCAUGCAGAGCGUAAGCCGUGCAGGCUUAUUACUCACACCACACUCACCUGGACCCAGAGACCUCCAGGCCCUGAGGACUCCGUCUCCCCAAAGUAUUUUCCUGAGAAAUUACAGAGGACCUCAACCGUGCAACUCACACAGAGGCUGUUCUUCGUGGCCGGAGCUGGACUCCACGCCCUCUGGGGCACAUCCCUGAGUGUGAGCAUCUUCUCUCGCCCUCCUCCCACCCAGGCACCGUCCCAACUGGGCACUGCCUUGCCAUGCCCCACAUCUCCCACAAGGGGGAGCCCCUGGAGGGCAGCUGGGGCUGCGGAAUUUUGGAAGCGCAGAAGUUUUCUCCUCCUGUCCUGUAACUGGUUUUCACUUCACUCAACUGAGAGAUUUCUUUGUUGCAAUGAUGGGGUCUAAGAUAACACUUCUGGAGGCUGCAGGCGAGAAACACAGCUGAUAUCAUCUUUUAUUGUGUGUUGUUAUUUGCCUAGCAUUAUAAAUUAAGGAGGAAAAGUAACAAAGAGCUUGAAGACACGCACAGCUCACAGGCCCCGGGUGGAGGCUGGCGGCAUCAGACACACAGAACCAAGACAUCUGAGGGGCAACCAGGAGGUGCGUGUGGCUGCAGAGCACACAGACUUGUCUUGGGACAAAAUUGAGAAGAACUCAUAAACUUGGCUUACUCGCUUCUGCUCCUCAGAAGCGGGUGGAUGAUUUGAAGAUAUUAGCCCUAGCAAGAUGGAAGCAGGUUUAAAAUUUUACAUAAGAAGUUACCUUUUUCAGGUAAUGGUGUUUUUCUGUAAUUUUCCCAAACCUUUCAUUUCUCAAGUAUUGCAAAUUUUUAGGGCAUGCUUGAAUGAUUUAAUUAUGAAGAAUAACUACAUUUUAAACUUAAUUUUUUAAAAAAGAAACCAGUUUUAUAAUUUUCAUAGCCAAGAGUAGAGCAGACAUGGCAUUCAACUCUAUGGAGUCUGGAAAAUUUUUAAAAAUUUAUUACUGAACAGCACUUGGAUUUUUGGAUCUGAAAAUUAAGCCAUAGAGCUACAACUAAAUUCUCAGUUUUGCCAGACUUCACAGCACCAGCAGGCUCUGAGCAAUCAUAACAAGCAUUUGAAACUAGCAGGCACUGCCCCUUAACUCUGUUGCUAUCUUGGGCAUUUGAAUUAAAAAAUAUAAGUAUUACAGGAUUGGCUCUAAAAAGCCUACCAUGUGUUCUGAAUUCCUGGAAGAUAGAGCUUAUAUAAAUUGCAUAAUAACAAUAUUGAUUUUUUUUUUACUUUAGUCGUAGAUUGGUAAUACUAUAUGGCACUUUAUGAAACUGUUCCCUUGCAUAUUCAGUGAGUAGGAUUCGAUCUUAGCUGUCAUGAUAGAGGCAGUUUCCUUUUAGUGUCAUUGAAGGGUUUUAUGCCACCUAAAAAUGUUUAAUAACAUAAAUUAUAUAUUUGCUUUAUAAGUUACAUUACUUGGGCUUUGUCAUUGCUUACCAGCAUUAACCCAUAUUUUCCAACUUGUUAAUAUUACUUAGAGAGCCCACAGAUUCUUGCUUAAUGAAGCAAGCCAAAAUUUCUUCUGAAAAAACCCCUCAUUUUCCUCCUCAACACAAAGAAGAUUCUUAAAGGACGUAGUCAAUUAAUACUUUAAGAAAAAUAUCUACUCCCAAACAAACCAUCCCUUUAGUAGGUCAGUAUUUGAUUU